rnacentral:rRNA from 1 species
ACGAACGCUGGCGGCGUGCUUAACACAUGCAAGUCGAACGGUGAAGGGACCGGUUUUUGCUGGUUCUGGAUGAGUGGCGAACGGGUGAGUAACACGUGAGUAACCUGCCCCCUUCUUCUGGAUAACCGCAUGAAAGUGUGGCUAAUACGGGAUAUUCUGCGCCUGCUGCAUGGUGGGUGUGGGAAAGAUAUUGUUUCGGUGGGGGAUGGGCUCGCGGCCUAUCAGCUUGUUGGUGGGGUGAUGGCCUACCAAGGCGGUGACGGGUAGCCGGCCUGAGAGGGUGGACGGUCACACUGGGACUGAGACACGGCCCAGACUCCUACGGGAGGCAGCAGUGGGGAAUAUUGCACAAUGGGCGCAAGCCUGAUGCAGCGACGCCGCGUGAGGGAUGGAGGCCUUCGGGUUGUAAACCUCUUUCGCCAGUGAAGCAGGCCUGUCCCUUUUGUGGGUGGGUUGACGGUAGCUGGAUAAGAAGCGCCGGCUAACUACGUG